rnacentral:rRNA from 1 species
UGCAGUCGAGCGCAGUCCUUCGGGACCGAGCGGCGGACGGGUUAGUAACGCGUGGGAACAUACCCCUUUCUACGGAAUAGCCUCGGGAAACUGAGAGUAAUACCGUAUAAGCCCUUCGGGGGAAAGAUUUAUCGGGAAGGGAUUGGCCCGCGUUAGAUUAGAUAGUUGGUGGGGUAAUGGCCUACCAAGUCUACGAUCUAUAGCUGGUUUUAGAGGAUGAUCAGCAACACUGGGACUGAGACACGGCCCAGACUCCUACGGGAGGCAGCAGUGGGGAAUCUUAGACAAUGGGCGCAAGCCUGAUCUAGCCAUGCCGCGUGUGUGAUGAAGGUCUUAGGAUCGUAAAGCACUUUCGCCAGGGAUGAUAAUGACAGUACCUGGUAAAGAAACCCCGGCUAACUCCGUGCCAGCAGCCGCGGUAAUACGGAGGGGGUUAGCGUUGUUCGGAAUUACUGGGCGUAAAGCGUACGUAGGCGGAUCAGAAAGUUAGGGGUGAAAUCCCGAGGCUCAACCUCGGAACUGCCUCUAAAACUCCUGGUCUUGAGUUCGAGAGAGGUGAGUGGAAUUCCAAGUGUAGAGGUGAAAUUCGUAGAUAUUUGGAGGAACACCAGUGGCGAA